rnacentral:lncRNA from 1 species
AUUUAGGAUUAGAAUUUGAUUUAGGAUUUAGAAUUUGAUUAGGAUUUGAUUUAGGAUUAGGAUUUGAUUUAGGGUUUAGGAUUUGAUUUAGAAGUGGUUAAGAUUUGAUUUAGGUUUAGGAUUUACUUAGGGUUUGAUUUAGGAUUAGGAUUUGAUUAAAGUUUGAUUUAAGUUUAGAAUUUGGUUUAAGAUUUAGAAUUUGGUUAGGAUUUGAUUUAGAAUUAGAAUUUAGGAUUUGGUUAGGGUUUGAUUUAGGGUUUAGGAUUUGGUUUAGAAUUUAGGGUUUGGUUUAGGGAUUAAGAUUUUUUUAGGAUUUAAUCAGGAUUUGAUUUAAGGUUUAGAGUUUUAUUUGAGAUUGUUUAGGAUUUAAAAUUUAGUUAGUUUUUGGCCUAAAGUUUGAAUGAAGUAAGAUUUCAACUAGGAUGAAAUUAAGAUUGAAUUGAGAUGUAUUUGAGAUGUGUUUGUAAUCAUUUUAAUAUUUCUUUAAGAUUUCUUAUUGUUUCUUUGGAAUUCCUUUGAGGUUUCUUUGAAUUUGAUUAAAGUUGGUUUAGCAUUGUUAGUGU